CAACCAAUGGAUUUAUCAACUCGAAAGCUGUUGAAUCAUUGCUCUGUCCGUGAUUUAUAUACAGACUUUAGUGUCUUGAAAUUGGUGUCUAUUUCUCGUCUGUAUAAUGGUGAACGUGGUGAAUUCUUUGUAUAUUGGAACUGACAAAACUGUUUGAAAGAAAAUUGCACAUAGAUGUGAAAGGUUACAUGGUAAAAGG